UCUGGAAAUGUCUGACUACAAAAUGCAGGCCCAAAUGCAGUUGUAGCAUUUCAGCCCCAGAAGAAGUGGCCCAGCUGGGUGGGGCUGUCGAUGCCAGAGAACUUCUAGAGAUUUUCCUUCUGGAUCUGGUUGAUGAUUGUCAAUGUGGCAAUGGAGAGUUUGGAAGCUGCUCCACUCAUCUUCUUAGAAAGGUGGAAAAAAGAUCAUGCUUAUGCAUGAUAAAGGAAUACCAUCUUUGGAUGGAUUUGAUAGGCAGACUGAUGAGUGAUUGGACUGAACUGAAGCAGGAGGGAAUGUAUGCCCUGGUUAUAACUGGAUAAAUGUUAACAUUAUGUCUGAUAUACGAUGUGAGAUACUCAGUUGAAGCCUGAGGCCCAUCACCUGAAGCAGCAGGUCUACAGGAUGAAGGCCUCUUCCACUUGUUUCUAACAGAUACAGUCCUGAGCUCUCUUUUGCCAAUUGGACCCAUGGUACUUGCUGAUGUUGUUGAUCCAUCUUGUCUUCGGUCUCUUCUGUGGACGCUUUUUAUCAAGUGGGAUACAUUCUCUGACUGCCUUGGUCCACCUGCUGUCAGUUCUUCUUGUUGUGUGACCAGCCCUCUUCAAUUUCAAUUGUUUGACUCCAUAAAAGCCCAAAGACCUGACUCUGUGAAUUAGCUUGGGGCUCCAAUAGGGAGCAUCACAAUGGAGGUGGUUGAUCAAUUAACAUCAGAUCCCACCUCCCUCCAUCCUGCUUCCAUCCUCCCCAUCCUUUAAUUGUGCUGCAGUGUUUGACUUUUUUGCACUAAAGUAUUUCUGUAUGUUUUUACCGUAGUUUAUUUCAU